rnacentral:lncRNA from 1 species
GAAGGGCCUCGCGGACUGGGACGAGGCCGAGAAGGAGCACCUCGGCGAGGAGCUCUCCGACGUGCUGCUCUACUUGAUCCGCCUCUCCGACAUGUGCGGCGUCGACCUCGGCGACGCCGCCACCAGGAAGAUCGUCAAGAACGCCGUCAAGUACCCGGCGCCAUCAAAGGAAGGCGCCUGAUGACGAACGAUACCUCCCGGCGUGCUUCUUUGAUGCUUUGCGAUGGCUGGUCCCUGCUAGAACCAGACAGAUACAUGAACUGAUGCU